rnacentral:rRNA from 1 species
UUUUGACUGUACUAAGGUAGCAUAAUCAUUAGUUUUUUAAUUGAGAACUGGAAUGAAAGGUUUGAUGAAAAAAUAACUGUCUCUUUUAUAUAAAUAAAAUUUUAUUUUUAAGUUAAAAAGCUUAAAUAUUGCUAAAAGACGAGAAGACCCUAUAGAGUUUAAUAAUUUAAUAAUUUUAUAAAUAAAGAUAAAAAUUAUAUUGGAUUAUAUAAAUUUAUUUGAUUGGGGUGAUUAUAGAAUUUAAAAAACUUCUAUUUAAAUAAACUUUAAUUAAAGGUUGGUGUGAUUAAUUUAUUGUGAUUAAAAGAAUAAAUUACCUUAGGGAUAACAGCGUUAUCUUUUUUUAGAGUUCAAAUCGAUAAAAAGGAUUGCGA